rnacentral:rRNA from 1 species
CGCGUGGGAACGUGCCCUUCAGUUCGGGAUAACCCACGGAAACGUGGCCUAAUACCGGAUACGUGCGAGAGCAGAAAGAUUUAUCGCUGAAGGAUCGGCCCGCGUCUGAUUAGCUAGUUGGUAGGGUAAUGGCCUACCAAGGCGACGAUCAGUAGCUGGUCUGAGAGGAUGAUCAGCCACACUGGGACUGAGACACGGCCCAGACUCCUACGGGAGGCAGCAGUGGGGAAUAUUGGACAAUGGGCGCAAGCCUGAUCCAGCCAUGCCGCGUGAGUGAUGAAGGCCUUAGGGUUGUAAAGC